rnacentral:rRNA from 1 species
UUAAAAAACAGGUGAGGCAGGGCGGUGGUCAGCCCCGCGUCGGGAGAUGUUGGGUUAAGUCCCGCAACGAGGGGAAACCCUUUUCUUUUUUGCCAGCGGGUUAAGCCGGGAACUUUAAGGAUACUGCCAGUGACAAACUGGAGGAAGGCGGGGAUGACGUCAAGUCAUCAUGGCCCUUACGACCAGGGCUACACACGUGCUACAAUGGUCGGUACAAAGGGUUGCUACCU